UACGGAGGGGGCUAGCGGUGUUCGGAAUUACUGGGCGGAAAGGGCGCGUAGGCGGCGUCGUAAGUCCGGCGUGAAAGGCCCGGGCUCAACCCGGGAACUGCGCUUGAUACUGCGGCGCUCGAGUCCGGGAGAGGAUGGCGGAAUUCCCAGUGUAGAGGUGAAAUUCGUAGAUAUUGGGAAGAACACCGGUGGCGAAGGCGGCGAUCUGGACCGGUACUGACGCUAAUUCGCGAGGGCGUGGGGAGCAAACGGG
rnacentral:rRNA from 1 species